UACGGAGGGUGCAAGCGUUAAUCGGAAUUACUGGGCGUAAAGCGCACGUAGGUGGUUUGUUAAGCUAGCUGUGAAAUCCCCGGGCUCAACCUGGGCACUGCAGUUAGAACUGGCAAGCUAGAGUAGGGUAGAGGGGUGUGGAAUUCCAGGUGUAGCGGUGAAAUGCCUAGAUAUCUGGAGGAACAUCAGUGGCGAAGGCGACACCCUGGACUCAUACUGACACUGAGGUGCGAAAGCGUGGGGAGCAAACAGG
rnacentral:rRNA from 1 species